rnacentral:rRNA from 1 species
UUGACCUCGAAUCAGGUAGGAAUACCCGCUGAACUUAAGCAUAUCAAUAAGCGGAGGAAAAGAAACCAACCGGGAUUACCUCAGUAACGGCGAGUGAAGCGGUAACAGCUCAAAUUUGAAAUCUGGCUCUUGCGGAGUCCGAGUUGUAAUUUGUAGAAGAUGCUUUGGGUUGUGGGUUCGGCCUAAGUUCCUUGGAACAGGACGUCAUAGAGGGUGAGAAUCCCGUAUGUGGCCGAGGCCCGCGCCUAUGUAAAGCUCUUUCAACGAGUCGAGUUGUUUGGGAAUGCAGCUCAAAAUGGGUGGUAAAUUUCAUCUAAAGCUAAAUAUGGGCCAGAGACCGAUAGCGCACAAGUAGAGUGAUCGAAAGAUGAAAAGCACUUUGGAAAGAGAGUUAAACAGUACGUGAAAUUGUUGAAAGGGAAGCGCUUGCAACCAGACUUGGGCGCUGCCGAUCACCUUGAGUUUUCUCGAGUGCACUCGACAGCGCACAGGCCAGCAUCGGUUCGGGUGGCUGGAUAAAGGCCGUAGGAAUGUGGCUCUCUUCGGGGAGUGUUAUAGCCUACGGUGCCAUGCAGCCCAGCCGGACCGAGGACCGCGCCUUCGGGCUAGGAUGCUGGCGUAAUGGUUGUAAGCGACCCGUCUUGAAACACGGACCAAGGAGUCUAACAUCUAUGCGAGUGUUUGGGUGGUAAACCCAUACGCGGAAUGAAAGUGAACGUAGGUGAGAACCCCUUUGGGGCGCAUCAUCGACCGAUCCUGAUGUCUUCGGAUGGAUUUGAGUAAGAGCAUAGCUGUUGGGACC